rnacentral:rRNA from 1 species
ACCGUACUCCUACGGGAGGCAGCAGUGGGGAAUAUUGGACAAUGGGCGCAAGCCUGAUCUAGCCAUGCCGCGUGAGCGAUGAAGGCCUUAGGGUUGUAAAGCUCUUUCAGUGGGGAAGAUAAUGACUGUACCGGAAGAAUAAGCCCCGGCUAACUUCGUGCCAGCAGCCGCGGUAAUACGAAGGGGGCUAGCGUUGCUCGGAAUCACUGGGCGUAAAGGGCGCGUAGGCGGACUUUUAAGUCGGAGGUGAAAGCCCAGGGCUCAACCCUGGAAUUGCCUUCGAUACUGGGAGUCUUGAGUUCGGAAGAGGUUGGUGGAACUGCGAGUGUAGAGGUGAAAUUCGUAGAUAUUCGCAAGAACACCGGUGGCGAAGGCGGCCAACUGGUCCGAAACUGACGCUGAGGCGCGAAAGCGUGGGGAGCAAACAGGAUUAGAAACCCCGGUAGUCCUUGAC